UGGUUACCAACGUAAUUAGAGCAGUAACAAUUAAAUGUUUUGUCAUACCUGUGGUAUACGGUCUGAUGUAGCACGGCUGUCAGCCAAUCAGCAUUCAGGGCUUGAACCACCCAGUUUGUAAUUCUCUAUAAAUGGUGAGUGUCAACAUCAGGCUGUAUUUUGUCUGUUUUACAGCAGGCUAGUGUUCUCCGGAGAAUCCAGCUGAGUUUAACACAGCAUGUUGGUUUUCUUCCAUAGUGAGUAGCAUGCCAGGGCUAGGAGGCGGUUCCAGACCACUGUGUGUGGUGUGUUGCUCUCUCCUGCGUCUCUCUCAUUACCAUGACAUUCCUUCGCACAGACACUUGACGGCCAUCUUUCCUUGUUCCAUCGCCAUAAGCAACAACAGCCCAGCAGAGAGAAGGAACACAGUGCACAUCAAAAAUGACGACAUUGUACUCUUACUCUCGACAUUGUAUUCUUCAAAUUAAAAAAACAAGUGUAAUGAACCCAGAUGUUGUUUUCUGUCUAAUCUAACCUACUCUCUGACAGGAUAUGUGUAAUCUAAAGAGAAUAUAGUGACAUGGAGUGGCAUCUCCUCCAGUAUGUAUGUAAGCGCUGCAUAUUAGUCUUUGGCAUGGUUCAGUAUCGGAGAAGCCCAUUGGUUGAGCUGACGUUCACGCCAGACCAAUAACAGGAGAGCAGAAGAUCAGGUCAAUGCUUCAUCGUCGUGGAUUUAAAAACCUUGUAUUUACUUGGUUAAAUAACAUCCACAUACGUUUCCCAGUGACAUAGAGGGACAUAAAAUAAAACCAUUAAAUCGGAGUCUGAAUCGAUUUAGAAAAAAAAAACUGUUUUGAUUGAAAGAGAUCCACCGUAUUAUCAAUUGUAAGACUUUAAUUCUUUAAGACUUUAAAUUCUUUACGACAGUAUUAAGACAUCUAUAAACGUUCUUCAGGGCUUGAGACUUUUUCAGAGAGGCAGCUGUUCUCAUACACUCCUCAGAGUACACUACAGCUGCACCAACCCACCCCAGGAGGUUAAACAGACUGCCCUACCAGGACAACCCACCACAUCCACCCCAGGAGGUUAAACAGACAGCCCUACCAGGACAACCCACCACAUCCACCCCAGGAGGUUAACAGACAGCCCUACCAGGACAACCCACCACAUCCACCCCAGGAGGUUAACAGACUGCCCUACCAGGACAACCCACCACAUCCACCCCAGGAGGUUAAACAGACAGCCCUACCAGGACAACCCACCACAUCCACCCCAGGAGGUUAAACAGACAGCCCUACCAGGACAACCCACCACAUCCACCCCAGGAGGUUAGACAGACAGCCCUACCAGGACAACCCACCACAUCCACCCCAGGAGGUUAAACAGACUGCCCUACCAGGACAACCCACCACAUCCACCCCAGGAGGUUAAACAGACAGCCCUACCAGGACAACACACCACAUCCACCCCAGGAGGUUAACAGACAGCCCUACCAGGACAACCCACCACAUCCACCCCAGGAGGUUAACAGACUGCCCUACCAGGACAACCCACCACAUCCACCCCAGGAGGUUAAACAGACAGCCCUACCAGGACAACCCACCACAUCCACCCCAGGAGGUUAACAGACUGCCCUACCAGGACAACCCACCACAUCCACCCCAGGAGGUUAAACAGACAGCCCUACCAGGACAACCCACCACAUCCACCCCAGGAGGUUAACAGACAGCCCUACCAGGACAACCCACCACAUCCACCCCAGGAGGUUAACAGACGGCCCUACCAGGACAACCCACCACAUCCACCCCAGGAGGUUAACAGACAGCCCUACCAGGACAACCCACCACAUCCACCCCAGGAGGUUAAACAGACAGCCCUACCAGGACAACCCACCACAUCCACCCCAGGAGGUUAAACAGACAGCCCUACCAGGACAACCCACCACAUCCACCCCAGGAGGUUAGACAGACAGCCCUACCAGGACAACCCACCACAUCCACCCCAGGAGGUUAAACAGACAGCCCUACCAGGACAACCCACCACAUCCACCCCAGGAGGUUAAACAGACAGCCCUACCAGGACAACCCACCACAUCCACCCCAGGAGGUUAACAGACAGCCCUACCAGGACAACCCACCACAUCCACCCCAGGAGGUUAAACAGACAGCCCUACCAGGACAACCCACCACAUCCACCCCAGGAGGUUAAACAGAGAGCCCUACCAGGACAACCCACCACAUCCACCCCAGGAGGUUAACAGACAGCCCUACCAGGACAACCCACCACAUCCACCCCAGGAGGUUAAACAGACAGCCCUACCAGGACAACCCACCACAUCCACCCCAGGAGGUUAAA